GUUUGAUCCUGGCUCAGAACGAACGCUGGCGGCAGGCCUAACACAUGCAAGUCGAACGAACCUUCGGGUGAGUGGCGCACGGGUGCGUAACGCGUGGGAAUGUACAUCUCGGUAAGGAAUAACUGCUGGAAACGGUAGCUAAUACCUUAUAAUGACUCCGGUCCAAAGAUUUAUCGCCGAGGAAUCAGCCCGCGUCGGAUUAGCUUGUUGGUGAGGUAAAAGCUCACCAAGGCGACGAUCCGUAGCUGGUCUGAGAGGAUGAUCAGCCACACUGGUACUGAGACACGGACCAGACUCCUACGGGAGGCAGCAGUGAGGAAUAUUGGACAAUGGGGGAAACCCUGAUCCAGCCAUGCCGCGUGUAUGAAGAAGGCCUUAGGGUUGUAAAGUACUUUCAAUAGUGAAGAUAAUGACGGUAGCUAUAGAAGAAGCUCCGGCUAAAUUCGUGCCAGCAGCCGCGGUAAUAAGGGCGAAUU
rnacentral:rRNA from 1 species